GGUCACAUGGUGUAAUGGUUAGCACAUAGGAUUUUGACUUGGUUUCGGCCUUUUCAGAAUCUUCCUGGGAUCUGGGUUCGAUUCCCAGUGAGACCU